GCGAGCCAGGGGCAGGGCGGAGAGCCGCUGGGCGCUGGGCGGGCAGAGGUUUGGAGACCGACAGCAUUGAGGGUGAAGGGCUGGUGGAGACCAUGCUCUCUUCCUUCUGCCUGUGGCUGGGCCAGGCUGGGGCUCUCCUGGCACUUACUGUUCUUGCAGCAGGAUCGGCCCCGAGAUGUAUCUUUCAGUGCUGAUGCAGCCCCUUAAAGUACACCUGAGAACCAGGCAAAGAAAUUGGUUUUUAACUGCUCUACAUAGAGUAGGAAGGAGGGAUUGGGUGGUAUCAUUCAACUGAUUCAUCAAUUUCACCUGAAUUUAAUUUCCUGCGUCUCAUCCAGGUGUGACCUGGAAAAGUAGCGUAACCUUUUUGCUUUGAAUUUCUUAUGUCAAGUGAUUAUGGUAAGAAAUAAUGAGAAAAUGCGUGUAUAAGUAAACGGCUCAUUACAUGACGCAUAGAAAACACUCAAAAGUUGUAAUUAUUAUUCAUUAUAUUUUCAGAAAUUAGAAGGGGUAGAGAAGAGAGGAAAACAAGCAAGGAUGCUAUGGGAAGAAUGUUCCUAUUCUCAUAAUCAAAUCCACUAUAAUUCAAGUUCCUUAUUUGGGGAUCCAAAUACCCCAAUUCUUCAACCCAUGAGUGAAACCACUUAUGUAACAUUGUGAUGGUCACCUAUUUACUUUCUAGUUCCAGCAACUACACAUUUACAUAAAUAUAUACACUUUAAAACUUUCCACCUGUAGGAAAGAUAAAAUUCACCAGGCCAAGAGAAUCAUUUAAGACUCUGCAGUGUCCAAUAACUGUUUCUGCAUCCGAGGUAUUAAACUCAUUAUGAAAGCCUUGAUCCCCUUUAACGUUAUUAGUGAAGUUCAAAUUUCUAUCCUGCAACAAGUUCUUCCUGCUGAGAAGAUGAAGCUGAUUGAAGUCCAUGGGAGGUUUUUUCUCUUCUUUCCUUUUAAGACAGAGGCACUGUACACUGAUCAGGCAUUUCUUCACCCAGCAUCUUGUGAUGAAUUUUUUGAAGACUCACUGGGAUUUCAAACACACAGUCUGCAUAUUCAGCCAUUAGGAAGGAGGAUUAUGAUGCUUUUCAGGAACAGAACCAGCUGUGGUUUGAUCUAUCAUCCGAUACAUCCCAACAGUGGGAAAUACAUCUUACUUGAUUGAUGAAAAUAAUAAUAUACUCGUCUGCUGGAGAAAACAAAUGUCUACUGAAAUUGGAUAAUGACCUAUCCUGCCAUCAUGCUCAGAGAGUCCCGGGCAGGGGCGCAGGAUGCCCCCUGAGAGGUUCGAGGAUCUGAGAGUAGGGAGGACCUUACCCCACUUCCCAAACCAGGUUCAGGAGCUAUAUUGGGCUCUUCAUAUGACAUGCUAUGAGAGAGAAGAAAACAGCUAUAGCCAUAUUGCCCAGAAGACCUGCCACAACUCAUCUGACUCCUGCUGAGAAGCUAACAGAAGCCUGUGAGACCACAGGCGUCAGAAAGAAAUUAGGUCCUGGGGGUCAGGGACCCUCUGAAUGCGAAUCGUUGCAGCCCAGAUCCUAUGAUAGUACAGGACUCAUAAGAGGUUUACAGUAAGUGAAAGAAACGGGUUUUCCAAAAGGAUGUCCAGGAAACGAAAAUGGAGCUGCUCUGUCAACCACAAUACAAAUCUGAGUGCUAUUUAUUUCUUCAUGAGUAUUGAGUCAUGAGUAACAAGACUUUUCAGCUAAGCAGAUCUGAGUGUCUCGAAAAGUCACAGUCCUUGUAUACGUUGAGACAAGAAAAAUGCAAAUGUUUAACGUAGAUGGAAUGUGGAGAAUUAUGAUAAAAUAAGACUUUUUACAUUUCCUACUUGAAAAGGGGGAAAUAAUUUUCCUCGAGAAGACGAUCUCUAACAGCUCUUCACUUAAAAUGCACCACUUCUUCCUGGGGAAUGGCAAUUUAUAAACAAAAUAUUAUGAACUGUUUGUGUAGUAAAAAUGCAAGGAACAGGGGUCAUCCCAAUACACAAGUAUAUACUAAUGGCACAUUUAGUGAGAGAAAAUAGGAAAGAAUAUAAGGUUCACACUGUAUCCAUUUAAAAGACAUUUCUUAAUACAAAAUACCUCAGCUUUUCAUGCUACUGCAAUCUUUGGAUUAAAUUAGAUCUUGAGAGGUCACAGGGGAGUUAACACCUAUGUCACAUGGGGGUGGAGAGUGGAGAAGCUAUAUUGGAGUCUAUUUUUAAAAUAAACAGAUGAAUGAGCACAAUUGGUAAAAAUGCACCAAUUAACAAGUCUUCAUUUUACCAUACAGUAUGUCUGGGAGUGUAUAAAGUCUGUUCCAAGACACAGGAUGAAGACAAUGCCCUUGACUUUGUCCCUGAGCUUGCAGGAUGUUUUUUCUCUUUUUAAGAAGUAAAAACAAUACAAGAAUGUCAAUUAGAGGCAUGAUGGCACGUUCUUCAUUAAUAAGAACUUAGACAGAAAAAGCACUAGUCUGAGCUGGUAAGGAAGUAUGGGGCUUGGACAGAACCUUCACUGGUGUUCAGGGUAAGGGUGAAUGGGAGCCACAGGGAAUGAAUUUUCCUAAUGAAAGAAAAGCGUGUGCAAAUCUAACAGGGGAACCGGGUGGGAGACAGUGCAAUGGCCUAAGCCAAAAGCAUUGCCCAGCUUUGGUUUCAGGUGUGGCCACUGUGGGAAGGAAAUUACCAGGGAGUAAGCCUUGACAACUCCCUGAGGUUGUCAAGAUGCUUUGCACGUGCUUAACGCCCUUGCUGCAUAAGCAGCUUCUAAUUGAACAACUAAAUUGUAUACUCUGUUUGCCAACUUAGCCUUCUUUUGACCACACUGGUUUGGGGGAAAAUCAAGGAAGAAAAAAACCGCAGGAUAGCUUUGAAACAUUAUUUAAAUAGCCUUAUUCCUACAUAAAAUGCUUCUGAUCCUGUUCACAUUUACAAAUAGCACCCAGUAUUUGUGACUAUAUCUUCAGUGCUUUCUUUAUAUUUCUCUACACAUCACAUUGCUUAUGAAACCCAAACAGAAAGUGAGCAGUGGGAAGGUGGAAAUGCAGUGUAAUCAUCAGGAAUGUGGCUUUGGGAAUUUGAUCAUUAUGAGUCCCAGAACAAUACUUACUGAAUUAAUAAUCAUAAGCAAAUGACCUACUUUCUCAAAGCCUCAACAUAUCUUUAUUUUAAAGUUUUUAUUUGUUUUGAAAGAGAGAGAGGGAGGGAGAGAGACAGAGAGAGAGA